rnacentral:rRNA from 1 species
UGGGGAAUAUUGCACAAUGGGGGAAACCCUGAUGCAGCGACGCCGCGUGAACGAAGAAGGUAUUUGUAUCGUAAAGGUCUGUCCUAUGGGAAGAUAAUGACAGUACCAUAGAAGAAAGCUCCGGCUAAAUACGUGCCAGCAGCCGCGGUAAUACGUAUGGAGCGAGCGUUGUCCGGAAUUAUUGGGCGUAAAGGGUACGCAGGCGGUUUAAUAAGUCGAAUGUUAAAGAUCGGGGCUCAACCCCGUAAAGCAUUGGAAACUGAUAAACUUGAGUAGUGGGAAGGAAAAAAGAAUUCCUAGUGUAGUGGUGAAAUACGUAGUUAUUAGAAGGAAUACCAGUAGCGAAGGCGACUAUCUGGACACAAACUGACGCUGAGGUACGAAAGCGUGGGGAGCAAACAGG